UCUCUCUCUCUCUCUCUUCCCCUUUCUUUUAAACUACAUAUUUUGUGUCUAAGGCUUCUAAAGUGUAGGUGAAUUAGAUACCAUGAGCAUCCAAUCUAAAGAAUCAAUCAUUAUUUCCAAAAAAUGGUUGAACCAAAAUGGUAGAUUCUUGUGACAGGGCUAAGCACACUUCAAGAAUCGACCACAAUGUCCUAUUGAAUGUGAUCUCAAGCCAUAUUUAGCAAAGCUUCUCAAAAAGAAAGAAGUGUAGUCCAGAGAGCAAUACUCUUCCAAAGGGUCACAGAAGUGGGCAUCUACCAUAUCUCAGUAAGAAUUUGCCAAAGCAUCAUGUCCUACAAUCAUUUUCUGAUUCCAUAUGGAAAUUCCAGUAGUAAAUCAAUUUAACCGAUCUAAUUAUUUUUAAUGAAUGCGCUUUUCAAAAAUUCAGAAGAAACUAUAGUAACAAACUACGCUACUGAUAUUUAUUUGAAAAACAAUUCCAUCAAAGGCGCUUGCUUCCAACUUCUGAGGUAAAAGUACAUGUUCACUUUAUCAUCUCAAAAGUUACAUGAAUCACGGCAAAACACCAU
rnacentral:misc_RNA from 1 species